rnacentral:lncRNA from 1 species
GGGCUAAUUUAGAACCAAUUUGAGCCAAAUUGGAUUUGGUCUUGAAGUGGGUUCAAAGUGUUUUAAUUGGGCUUGCUGUUGGGUGCCAAAAACUAGGGAACCACAUGCCUAAGAGUCUCUCUCUUGGCGUGUGGAUUUGAAUCCAUGCGCAUGAGCCACAUGGCGCAUGGAUGGAGUUGGCGCCACCUUUAGAUAAGGUCUUUCCUACUUUUUCUC